UACCGGCGGCCCGAGUGGCGACCGCUAUUAUUGGGUCUAAAGCGUCCGUAGCCGGCCAGGUAAAUCCUUAGCUAAAUCGAACAGCUUAACUGUUCGGCCUCUAGGGAGACUGCCUGGCUUGAGACCGGGAGAGGUCAGAGGUACUCUCGGGGUAGGGGUGAAAUCCUGUAAUCCUGAGGGGACCACCGGUGGCGAAGGCGUCCAGCUGGAACGAACCUGACGGUGAGGGACGAAAGCCAGGGGCGCGAACCGG
rnacentral:rRNA from 1 species